AAGUCGUAACAAGGUCUCCGUUGGUGAACCAGCGGAGGGAUCAUUACAGAGUUGAAAAACUCCCAACCCUUGUGAACAUACCCGUUAACGUUGCUUCGGCGGGCGGCCCCAGGGCGGGGCCGCAGCCUCCUCGCGAGGCGCCCGCCGGAGGUAUCUAAACUCUUGUAUUAUUUGUUUUCUCUGAGUUGUCUUUUAAUAAGUCAAAACUUUCAACAACGGAUCUCUUGGUUCUG
rnacentral:misc_RNA from 1 species